CCACACUGCCAUUGCUGAGGAUUCCUGCUCGCCGUGGAAUCGGCACAUACAACGCUCUUAAUCUGAAAGUAAGUGACCUGGAUCUACUUUCAUCAUGAAGCAAUCAAAACUGGUCAACACACAGAACCAUAAUCUGCUCCCCUCCCCUGCAACCCUCGCAGAUGACAAGCAGACAUUGUCCUCGUGCAAGAAGAAAGCCGGCUUUUCCUUUGUGGAGGAAUGCUUUUGUCAAGCUUUAGUUUGUGGCGAGGUUUACGCUCCGACUGAAAAUGCCAUUGUCACGUUUGUGGAGGCUGAGGUCAUUGCUGUCGCUUUGUAGCCUGCUUGAUGGCAACUUCAAGCAAAGGACUCCGAUCAGGAACUUAGAAGAUACAAGAGGAUGAAGAGUAGUCUGAAAAUACCCAGCACCCCCUGCCAUCAAACAGACCUCUCCUCCGCCCGCUGCAGCUCAGCUGAGGCUGUCGACAGGCAGCUAUGGCUUUGGCAACCCCGCCUGUCACUCUUCUGUCUCCGCGGAAACAUCUUCUUCCUCCGCGUGCCAAAGAGGAAAGUUGAGGGCGACCGCCGGCAGCCCAGCUCCUGGGAGUUGAAAGAGCAGUCAGGUUUCACAGGAAGCCAUUGCUCACGGCGAUGCUUCACUGCUCAGACACAACAAAGUGGACUUCUGCAGACACCAACACACAGGAAGAAAAGUGUGGGGUUAAGUGGAGGCCAAGAGCGACAUGAGAGUGGGUCCUGGACGUAAAUUGUGAGGGAUUUUGGGAGUAGCUUACGAUGAAUUCGAGUAAACUAUCUUUUAAGAGUAAUGACUGUGUGUUUUCAACAUAUUUUGGUGUGUGUGUGAUCUUCUCACUGUCCCCUCCUGCUUUAUAAGACCCAUUUUUUAUGUGUCAGGUGACUGAGUAAAAAAGACAAACAAGCAGUUUGUGCAGCGCUGUAAUGGAUAUCCAAACAUUCCUUUGUGUACGCGAGGCCCCCGCAAGGUUCAGCGUGCAGCUGACACAACAAAGAAAACCUGUGUUUGACAAGCGCUCCAGUGCCAGGUCCUCUUUGAGGAUGCCAGGAGGAGAUGGGACACUUCAAGCCUAGCUGAGGCGGAACUCUGAGGCUCAAGACCUCGAGACACAAGGCAGGUGUAAAGUGUGUCCUAUUGUCUUAAAGUCCCACUCCGAACAUUUGUUCAACUAUUUAAAAAGCAUUCCCAGUGGUCUUUUAAUUAGGGCUGGGAAUCACGAUAUGAUGCGAUACACGAUAUGCGAUACAUGGUUCACGAUAUUGAUAUCACAAUACUGCAAUAAUUGGUAAAAAUCAUCUCUAAUAACUCACAAUAUAUAGAUGAACAUAUAUUUUUAGGAAAAAAUGUCC